GCAUCGAUAGCUCAGUGGCAGAGCGGUGGGACGGUACCCCAUGCGGCCCGGGUUCGAGCCCCGGUUGAUGUA